UACAGAGGUGGCAAGCGUUGUUCGGAAUUACUGGGCGUAAAGGGCGCGUAGGCGGCCCGUCACGUCCCGUGUGAAAGCCCCCGGCUCAACCGGGGAACGGCGCGGGAAACUAGCAGGCUUGAGUUCGGGAGAGGGAAGCGGAAUUCCGGGUGUAGCGGUGAAAUGCGUAGAUAUCGGGAGGAACACCUGCGGUGUAGACGGCUUACUGGACCAUAACUGACGCUGAGGCACGAAAGCGUGGGUAGCAAACAGG
rnacentral:rRNA from 1 species